UUAUCAUACAGAGACCCACACAAGAAUAAGCUCCUCGUUCUGAAAAAGAGUCUCACCCACGCGCAGGGUCAGUAUCAAAACUGCAGGUAAUACUGCGCUGCGCUACAAGAAAAACUGCACUCCAAAAUAAAUAAAGCGCGUCACAUUGCAUAACUACACAGGCGAUCCUUCUUAUAGAUGCCCUCCCUCAAUACUAGCAAGCAGCUGCUCAGCUGUUUCCAGGCGGCUUAAUGCAAACAUCGCCAACGAGCUCGCAGCAGCGAAGGAUGCGGGAAUUCCAAAAGCGCCAUGAAAUUUGCUUGAGCUGUACGGAGAAAAGAUAGAGGAAGUUAAUGAAGUAGGAAUGGACAGAAAAGAUAUGAAGGAAAUAUACCAG